ACACAUGGCUUUGUUUGUUAUGGAACAUUAAACAGAACACUGAAUGGGUAGGCGUUACGCCAUUGGCUGAAAUCAGCUUUCUUGGCCCCGGGAGGGUUCGGUCUCUGAUCAGCAGGGGCAUUUUCUCUAUAUAAGAAGAAAAUGGAGACUCCCUACCCACCCGAUGUAUUUUGUCGGACAGUUUUCUGUACAUUGCAGUCACCAAGAUAUCCAAAUAUCAUCACCGGCCCAGACGUCAUUCACUCCUUUGAACUGUGCUGGUAGCAGUAAGGUGUCAUCAUUUGAGAUGGUCACAGUAUCCAAUACACUGAAGUCACAGGACUCAAAUUUCAUACAUGUU